AUUUUUAAUUAAAUAGUAAAUGGCAUUUGAAUUUUUAAUAUAACUUUAUUAGUUUAUUAGAUAUAAACAUUUAAAGUUUCAAAUUUUUGAGUUAAUAUACAUGUAUAAUACACAUGAUGAUAUGAUUACAAAUACAGGUAGCUAAAUGGUUUAUAUGAUAUCAAUGUCGCAGUCACGGAUUGUUUAUUAUCAAUUAUGACUAUCAUAGAUAUACUUUCUGUAUUGACAGUUAGUGUAUUUAUAAACUCACAACAAUGUGCCUUACUACCAUUGAUAAUAACAAUGCUGUGUACCUGCUAAUUUCUUUGAAGUUGUUUUAAACAAAGUAACUCAUAACUAAAUACUUUAUUUAUAAUAAGUAAACAAAUAAUAAAAUCUCCUUUCAGUAUUGAUGUUCGUAAAUUACUUGCUUUUGAUGAUGUUUCAGUGUCAUUCCACUUCGAAAUUAUAAAUAACGAUUCAAUUAGGUACACAAAAAGCUCAAGAAAAUCAUUGACAGCAUAAAAACGUUCAACUCAUUUAGUCGCACAUAAUUGUUUUAAUGAUUUUUUAGUUAUACAUUUUUGACUUUCUUCGAUUUGACUUUUCAACACAUCUUUUCGCUUUGGAAGAUGAAUAAGAAAUAGCAAGGUUUAAAACAUGAACAGCACAAUGAACAAACGUCGCAAGCGGAUAACUUUGGUGAAUAAGAGAUUGAGCUCCGUUAAAUUGACCAGACAUAGAAGCACAUCCAUCGUAACACUGUCCUCUAAGUAGUAUCUGUUGUAGGCGCAAACUGAAGAAUUCUUUCUUGAUAAUCAUAUUUUCAACAUCUAAAUAUCGAACACACAAAGUUACUUGUUUGCUUCCACCA